rnacentral:lncRNA from 1 species
CUCAUUCUCCCAUUACAAGAGCAAUACACUCAGUUCAUAGCACUUCUCAACAAACAGAGUGCUUCACCAUCAACUCAUUUGGCAAACCAAGUUUGUUCUGUCAUUACUCCUUGCACUACUGAGGAUCAAAUGCCUAAUGUUUCUGGUAUAUCUCUAUGUUUGCAUUAAAAUCCAAGACACCAGCUAUCACACCUUGGAUCAUAGACACAGGUGCCACAAAUCAUAUGAUCUGUGGCAUCUCUUUGUUCACUAACGUUGUGGCACAGGUUUCCCACUUAGUCACACUUCUUAAUGGGAAUGGUGUUGCUGUCACCCAUAUAGGCACAGUGCAAAUUUCAGAAAAGUUAAUCAUGCAUGAUAUACUUUGUGUCCCAUCCUUCUCUUUUAACUUAAUUUCAACCAGAAGACUAGCUACCAUUUUGAAUUGCUGUCUUAUUUUUCUAUAUCAAUUUUGCUUUAUAUAGGAUCUUUUGACCUGGAGAACGAUUGGGAUGUAAAGUGAGGCAUGGUCUGUACCAUAUACAACAAAAGGAAAUUUCACCAUCAGCAUUCUUUGAUAUUUUAAGCAACACCAAAACCAUCACA